rnacentral:tRNA from 8 species
AGGGGUGUAGUUCAAAUAGGUAGAACGUCGGUCUCCAAAACCGGGUGUUAGGAGUUCAAGUCUCUUCACCCCUG